rnacentral:rRNA from 1 species
UACAGAGGUCUCAAGCGUUGUUCGGAUUCAUUGGGCGUAAAGGGUGCGUAGGUGGCGCCGUAAGUCGGGUGUGAAAUUUCGGAGCUUAACUCCGAAACUGCAUUCGAUACUGCGGUGCUUGAGGACUGGAGAGGAGACUGGAAUUCAUGGUGUAGCAGUGAAAUGCGUAGAGAUCGAUGAAGGAAGACCAGUGGCGAAGGCGGGUCUCUGGACAGUUCCUGACAGCUGAGGCACGAAGGCCAGGGGAGCAAACGGG